CACGUUGUGUUUGUCCCUCAUCCCUGUUACACUCCUGUUUGUAUUGGGUAAUUGAAGCCCUGUGGGGGAGGGCUGUUCUCAUCGUUCCCACUUAGCAGGUGGGGAAACUGAGGCUCAAGAGGCGGUAUUUCCAGCCCAGAAUCACAAAGCCCAGCAGAAUUUGAACCCAGGCAGCAGGAGGACAGGAGGAGGGGAACCAGCCCUGCUUGCUGUGGGCAGCAGACCCUGGGGCGAACAUUCCAGAAACAGGCUGCCUGCGUUCCGAGGGGAAAGCCCCCAGGGACAGGAAAGCUGUGUGCCGUCCCGCGCGGAGGAGACACCAGGGCCAGACGGGGAUCGGUGCCCGAGCUGCAGGAGAUCCACGAGGAGCCGAUCGGAACCAGCCUUCACUCCGGCCGCGUUUCCAGGGAAGCUGGGGGUGGCAAACCUGGGAAUUCUGGGGACUUCUGUGAGCUUGAAACCAUUUCAAAAUGAAACGUUAAAAAGCA